GACGAACCACACAAACGUUAUUCGGAAUUACUGGGCUUAAAGGGUGCGUAGGCGGCGCGGAAAGUUGGGUGUGAAAUCCCUCGGCUCAACCGAGGAACUGCGCUCAAUACUACCGUGCUCGAGGGAGACAGAGGUGAGCGGAACUUAGGGUGGAGCGGUGAAAUGCGUAGAUAUCGGAAGGAACACCUGUGGCGAAAGCGGCUCACUGGACCAUUACUGACGCUGAGGCACGAAAGCUAGGGGAGCAAACAGG
rnacentral:rRNA from 1 species